UAUACAUGGCCGCACAGAACCUGAGCUGUGGUUGGGCCCAGACGGUCCAAAGUGUCAUCAGCUGAAACACCCUUAAAGUCUGAGGAUCAAUGGAAGCCACUUCUAGGAGGAACCGUUGUAGGCGGUGUAGCCCGUUGUCCACGGGAUUUCCCAGGCAAGAAGACUGCAGUGGGCUGCCGUUUCCGCCUCCAGAUCUUCCUGACCCAGGGAUUGAACCCAGGUCUCUUGCAUUGGCAGGUUGAACCUUGGCAAGGGAAGAGGAAAGCUUCAACAUGGGCUUGAAAACAACAGAAAUUUAAAAAGUAAAUCUCCUAAGCAGAGACAUCACUUUGCUGACAAAGGGUCCAAGGAUGUGGCUGGAUCAGGCCUUGUGGGUCUUAUGACUGCAGAACACACCUCAGC
ensembl:lncRNA